rnacentral:rRNA from 1 species
AGAGUUUGAUCCUGGCUCAGGAUGAACGCUAGCGGCAGGCUUAACACAUGCAAGUCGAGGGGUAGUAGUAGCAAUACUAUGAGACCGGCAAACGGGUGCGGAACACGUACACAAUCUACCUUUAUCUGGGGCAUAGCCCGAAGAAAUUCGGAUUAAUUCCCCAUAAUAUAAUUGGAUGGCAUCAUUUGAUUAUUAAAACUCCGGUGGAUAGAGAUGAGUGUGCGUCCCAUUAGCUAGUUGGUAGGGUAACGGCCUACCAAGGCGACGGUGGGUAGCUGGUGUGAGAGCACGACCAGCCACACGGGCACUGAGACACGGGCCCGACUCCUACGGGAGGCAGCAGUGAGGAAUAUUGGUCAAUGGACGCAAGUCUGAACCAGCCAUGCCGCGUGAAGGAUGAAGGCCUUCUGGGUUGUAAACUUCUUUUAUGUGGGAAGAAAACUACGGUUUCUACUGUAGCCGACGGUACCAUAGGAAUAAGCACCGGCUAACUCCGUGCCAGCAGCCGCGGUAAUACGGAGGGUGCAAGCGUUAUCCGGAUUCACUGGGUUUAAAGGGUGUGUAGGCGGGCUGUUAAGUCAGUGGUGAAAUCUCCGGGCUCAACCCGGAAACUGCCACUGAUACUAUCAGUCUUGAAUUCUGUUGAGGUGGGCGGAAUAUGUCAUGUAGCGGUGAAAUGCAUAGAUAUGACAUAGAACACCAAUUGCGAAGGCAGCUCACUAAGCAGCGAUUGACGCUGAGGCACGAAAGCGUGGGGAUCAAACAGGAUUAGAUACCCUGGUAGUCC